rnacentral:lncRNA from 1 species
CGCAAACAAGAAAACGUAAUAUGAGAUUUUCAGUGGCUAACUUUGCACCGCAACGAGAUUAUCCUAUAACACGAAUGCAAGCAAAGAUAUUAAAUGCAUAGCAUGUGAUUUUAUCGGUAAGAACGGCGUACAGUUACUAUUAAACGCCAGAGAUUCAAGGUAAAGUACCGUUUACAUAAAGUGCUGAAAGUUACUGCUAUCGACGAACGACCAAUCAGAUCUCUUCAAUAUUUACGAUAAAUUUUCAGCUAUCGUGGUAGUGGUGUGGGUGGAGGUGGUGGUGUUAGGAGAAGAGGCCGAGUAGAAACAAAGAAGACGAAAGAUGCAGUAUGUGUAUGUAUGCAUACGUGCGUGCAUGCGUGCGUCCGAAAGGUAAACGAAGAAAAGACACUCCCGAAGGAAAAGAGACAAAUCAAUCAAAUCAAAUCACAAAAUCGGUGAUCUUCUUCGCGUUUUCUACCUCGUCCGAUAGUCGCGUGUUACCUAGUAUCGAGAAAGGUUUACGGAUAUACGCCAAUGGAAUGCCGUAAAUUUACGGGUAAAAGGGACAAAAGCGGGAAAUUCAAAUUUAUACAUUCGAUUCGCCAGAAAUUAAUCGCAAAACUAUUACCGAGUUAACACACAGGAUUGUGCUUUCAAGGAAACUUUUUGAACGUUACGUAAUACAAAAAGAAAAUUGUCCCGUUCCUUUAUUGGGAUAAAUCGAUUUUAAAAUCGUAACUGGAAAGCUUCAUUUUUUCUUUCACGAUCGAUGGAUAAUAGCACACAAGUCACGUUUCGCGGAAAACCUUUACGAUGUGAACACGAAGUUAGUAAGGAGGAAGAGGAAGAGGAAGAAGAGGUGGUGGAGAAGGUGGAGAAGGAGGAAGGUCGAAACGAUUCAGCAACUCGAGGGAUAUAUUAUCAGAAUGAAAUGAAAAAUCUGCAAUCAUAAAUAUAUCGCGAAUAUAUUUUUCCAAGAAUCAACUGUACACGCGAUGCGGGCUUUUGAUCCUGUGUUUCUUUCGUUGUAGUGGUUCGAUCGAAAAGAUACUAGAAUUUCUAGUGAUUUAUAAUAACAUAUCCCUAGAAUCUUUAUUAUAUGAAACUAAUGAAAUACGAAAUUUGGAAAUUUUGAAUCCCUGCCUUUUAAGUCAUCUUUUGUUUAUACAAUAAUGAACGUAAUUGUCCGUUUUUAUCUCUUACUGCACUUUGGAAACAAAUAAUUUGUUAAUCAUGCUGAUCUGUCGACUUUGAACGUAUAAUAAUGAAACUUAUCAUCAAGGGUUAUAGUUCGUAAAAAUCUACUUGACCCGGGGAGAAGUUUGUUGAAAAAUUAAAGGCUUUACCUCGGUCAGUGUUAAAAGUGCGAGUAUAUUAUCAGUGAAAUGUAAGAAGAAGUAUCGACGUGUAAUGAAAUAUCAUGAUACAAUAACUAGAACAAACCUAUAGUUAUUUCGUAUGGUGUAUAAUAUAUCAAAGGUCAUCUAAACGGGCAUAUUAAUGAAACGCUAAUGAUAAUGUCAAGGUAUUAUCAUUAAAAUGGCAAUGCAGAAGGUGUCACAGGUGUCUCGAUGAAACGAAUGAAAUAAUUGUGUGUGAAUAAGAGGAUUAUAAAACACAUAAGAAGAUUAUUUAAGGAUAAACGAUUAAUACUCACAAUAAUGUUGUUACC